rnacentral:rRNA from 1 species
GACGGAGGGUGCUAGCGUUGUUCGGAAUGACUGGGCGUAAAGGGCGCGUAGGCGGCUCGUGAAGUCAGGUGUGAAGGCCCGGGGCUCAACCCCGGAACGGCAUCCGAUACUGGCGGGCUUGAGACCGGGAGAGGAGGGUGGAAUACCCAGUGUAGAGGUGAAAUUCGUAGAUAUUGGGUGGAACACCGGUGGCGAAAGCGGCUCUCUGGCCCGGAUCUGACGCUGAGGCGCGAAAGCGUGGGGAGCAAACAGG